UUGAACUGUUGAAACUCUUGAACUGUUUCAGCGCAUUUAUGAAGUUCAUGAUUUACAUAUCAGAAAGUUUUGCAUUUUCUGUAUGCUGUAUGCUAUUACACAUAUACUGUACAUGUUCAAGCUAUUGAAACAUUUAGUUUCAGUGAUAGUGUUUAUACUGCCAGGUCUGUUCUGGCUUUUUCAAUUAAAUAUAUCACGCUUUAGACAUUCAAAUGUGUCAAAUCUUGCAAAACUCAUAAACCAUGAUGCUGCAUGUUUGUGUGCAGGUUACAUAUUUAUAUAGUCAGUUGCAUCAUCGAUCGUCUCUUAAGUCAGAGGAAACACUGGCAGGUUGAGACGUUUGUACAGAGCCCCCCGACCAUGCCCGGCUCUUUCACGACGACCAGAAACAUAUUGCAGGAAAAGAGGCAGCCGUCAGUUUCCAGCCUAACACGGUGCAGGGCCACAGGCCCAGUGCGUCUCUCCAGGGACCGGCCCGCUCAAGAGGAGCUGAAGUGUGGCCGGGGUCCAGAGCCGCCCUCCUGCCAGAAGACAUUUAACAAGCUGGCAGUAAAAAACAGCGGAGACCUCAGCAUGGAAAUAUGGCCCAUGUUUAAGAUAAGGAGGAAAAUGUCUAAAUGAACACAUGGCGCUUUGUGAUGAGGACUUCCUGUGUACCAAAAAUGUACAAGCAGAAGGGAAUUCAAGGCACUCUUUCCAAAAUCCCAACAUUAUUGAGGAGAUGCGAGGACCGCCCUGCGCUCCUGAGAGACGGGAAGCUCGCUGAGAGCGGCACGCUUCACUACAGAAACACCUGCUUUUGUUAGCUCACUACGCCACUUACCCUCACCCUCAGGGACGUGCCAUAGGGAGGGAGGGGACUGAAGAGACACAAAGCAAACAAUGUCUCAGAGCUCCAUGUCAUCUGGAGAAGAAUACAGAGCCACGACUGCCUUAGAAAUGCUAAAGGUGGGACGCAGGGCAGCGUGCUUAACCGAAUACAGACUUCUGGGGUUGUGUACGAAGUCGUCUGUUGCUGUGAUGCAUCGUUUUCUUUUUUUUUCUUUUUUGACCACAUUUUCUUUUCUUUUUUUGACAUCGACUCUUUCAAGACACAAACAGCAUUAGGGAUUCGCAGAUAAAAUUGAUGUGCACCAGGCAGUUUUCUUCUCUCUGUUGUGCAUUAUUGAGGUCAUUGAAGCUGUUGGUGAUUUCUGAGAAGGAAAAACACAGACUGGAACUUUAAAUGUUAAUUAUAAG